UCCAGGGAUGUAAAGCCUAGUGAGCAUGGCAUCUGCCCGGUAAGUGGAACACUGUGGGUUCGAUUCCCAUCCCUGGAU
rnacentral:tRNA from 1 species